rnacentral:lncRNA from 1 species
GAAUGGGUUUGAUAUGUGUUUGAAGUGAUAAGCCAAGGAGGGUAUUUAUAGGUUGAGAUGGCUGCUAAAAUUAGCAAAAAUUAGCAGCCAUAGAGUCCCCCCAUGGCCAGCCACACAUGUGGCAAGUUUGAAGGAUUCAAACUUGCUAUUUUAAGGUAGGGGCAAAUCUAGAAAUGCAUAAAUAAUAGAGGGGUUUGAAUGAAAUUUGAAG